AUUGUUACAUGUAGCACUGGC
rnacentral:miRNA from 1 species